rnacentral:rRNA from 1 species
AUUGAACGCUGGCGGCAGGCCUAACACAUGAAAGUCGAACGAGUGGCGGACGGGUGAGUAAUGUCUGGGAAACUGCCCGAUGGAGGGGGAUAACUACUGGAAACGGUAGCUAAUACCGCAUACCAUCGGAUGUGCCCAGAUGGGAUUAGCUUGUAGGUGAGGUAACGGCUCACCUAGGCGACGAUGCCUAGCUGGUCUGAGAGGAUGACCAGCCACACGGGAACUGUGACACGGUCCAGACUCCUACGGUGUGUAGAAGUGGGGAAUAUGGCACAAUGGUCGCAAGCCUGAUGCAGCCAUGCCGCUUGUAUGGAGCAGGCCUUCGGUUUGUAAAGUACUUUCAGCGGGGAGGCGUUACCCGCAGAAGAAGCACCGGCUAACUCCGUGCCAGCAGCCGCGGUAAUAC